UACGUAGGGGGCAAGCGUUGUCCGGAAUCAUUGGGCGUAAAGCGCGCGUAGGCGGUUCGGUAAGUCUGGUGUGAAAGUCCAGGGCUCAACCCUGGGAUGCCGGUGGAUACUGUCGGACUAGAGUACGGAAGAGGCGAGUGGAAUUCCUGGUGUAGCGGUGAAAUGCGUAGAUAUCAAGAGGAACACCUGAGGUGAAGACGGGUUGCUAGGCUGACACUGACGCUGAGGCGCGAAAGCCAGGGGAGCAAACGGG
rnacentral:rRNA from 1 species